CCCCGCUACUGCAGGAUGACGUCAGCACAGCCCGGCAAGGAUUGAUGGGGCCACUGGCCAAUUGGAAGACUGGGGGCGCCAGGCCAUUCCGCCAGCUAAUCCCCGCUGCGUGCUUUCUUGAAACCGGGAGGCGAAACCUUGAGUAUGAAAUUCUAGCAUUUCAGUUCCAACCCGGGAGCCCUGUGGGAACCGGAGGAGAACCAGCAGGAAAAAAAAAAAAAAAAAGAUGACAAGGGCCCCGAAA